rnacentral:rRNA from 1 species
AUUGAACGCUGGCGGCAGGCCUAACACAUGCACGUCGAGCGAGCGGCGGACGGGUGAGUAAUGUAUGGGGACUGCCCGAUAGAGGGGGAUAACUACUGGAAACGGUAGCUAAUACCGCAUACUAUCGGAUAACCCAUAUGGGAUUAGCGAGUAGGUGAGGUAAUGGCUCACCAAGGCGACGAUCCCUAGCUGGUCUGCGAGUAUGAUCAGCCACAGGUGGACUGAGACACGGCCCAGACUCCUACGGAGGCAGCAGUGGGGAAGAUUGCACAAUGGGCGCAAGCCUGAUGCAGCCAUGCCGCGUGGAUGAAGAAGGCCCUAGGGUUGUAAAGUACUUUCAGUCGGGAGGGUUUACCGACAGAAGAAGCACCGGCUAACUCCGUGCCAGCAGCCGCGGUAAUUC